GCUAAAUUAGCUCAGCUGGUAGAGCAGCUGAUUCGUAAUCAGCAGGUCGGGGGUUCGAGUCCCCCAUUUAGCUCCA
rnacentral:tRNA from 1 species